rnacentral:rRNA from 1 species
UGCGUAGGCGGAAUGAUAAGUUAGUGGUGAAAGCCCCCGGCUCAACCGGCGAACUGCCAUUAAUACUGUCAUUCUUGAGUAUAGUUGAAGUGGGCGGAAUGUAUCAUGUAGCGGUGAAAUGCUUAGAUAUGAUACAGAACACCGAUAGCGUAGGCAGCUUGCUAAACUAUAACUGACGCUCAGGCACGAAAGCGUGGGGAGCAAACAGGAUUAGAUACCCUGGUAGUCC